UUUGCUGUGUAGGGUGUGCCAGGCCUGGUUGUUCCUGCAGGCUCUUCUUCUUCUUCAUCAUCUGUACUCGCGCUCUCUCUCUCGCGCGCGCCUGCCGACAGACAAUCAGUGCUAGGCAGACUCUAUAGGCAGGCCAUUACUGCCAUCCAAAACAAGUGAUACGAAAGACAUUAUUAUGAUGAUGUUUCGGUGACUCCCAGAUGCCCAGCCUGAACAGAGAGCCUCGUCAGCCUCCAUGAUAGUUAGGCCGAGUCUAUUAUCCAUGGCUGGAGGGUUGCCCACUGGAUGAUCA